CACUAUGCUCAAGCCGUAAACUUAGAUACUGCAUCACUACAGGUAUCCGCCUGGGGAUUACGAGCGACAGCUUAAAACCCAAAGGACCUGGCGGUGAUUCAGACCCCCCUAGAGGAGCCUGUUCUAUAACCGAUAAUCCCCGUUAAACCUCACUACUCCUUGCCCCCCCCCCGCCUAUAUACCGCCGUCGUCAGCUUACCCUGUGAAGGUAAAGCAGUUAGCAAAGCGAGUUAAGCUCAACACGUCAGGUCGAGGUGUAGCGUAUGGAGUAGGAAGAAAUGGGCUACAUUAUCUGGCACAGAUAAUUCACGGAUAGCUACCUGAAAUAAGUGCUUCAUUUUUUCUUUUUGAAGGUGGAUUUAGCAGUAAGGGGAGAGUAGAGCGCCCCCCUGAAGCCGGCUCUGAAACGCGCACACACCGCCCGUCACUCUCCCCAAACAACACCCACCCGCAGGUAUUUAACACGCUACACGUUAUAAGGGGAGACAAGUCGUAA
rnacentral:rRNA from 1 species